GCCGUGGUGGCUCAGUGGUUGAGCAUCUACCUACGAACCAGGAGGUCACGGUUCGAUUCCCGGUCAGGGCA
rnacentral:tRNA from 1 species